rnacentral:misc_RNA from 1 species
CACAGUCUCUUCAUUACUUUUGCUGUUAUUUCUCCUCAGCUGUGCCGCAUAUCGCCUAAUUUUUCUUCUCUAAGUUUCUUAGUGUCUCAAGAUGGGUAAAGAGAAGAUUCACAUCAGCAUCGUGGUCAUUGGUCAUGUUGACUCUGGAAAGUCGACUACCACUGGUCACUUGAUCUACAAGCUUGGUGGUAUUGACAAGCGUGUGAUC